UACGUAGGGUGCUAGCGUUGUCCGGAUUUAUUGGGCGUAAAGAGCUCGUAGGCGGCUUGGCAAGUCGGGUGUGAAACCUCCAGGCUUAACCUGGAGACGCCACUCGAUACUGCCAUGGCUAGAGUCCGGUAGGGGACCACGGAAUUCCUGGUGUAGCGGUGAAAUGCGCAGAUAUCAGGAGGAACACCGGUGGCGAAGGCGGUGGUCUGGGCCGGCACUGACGCUGAGGAGCGAAAGCGUGGGUAGCAAACAGG
rnacentral:rRNA from 1 species